rnacentral:rRNA from 1 species
UACGUAGGGUGCAAGCGUUGUCCGGAAUUAUUGGGCGUAAAGAGCUCGUAGGUGGCCUGUCGCGUCGGCUGUGAAAAACUCGGGGCUCAACUCCGAGCUUGCAGUCGAUACGGGCAGGCUAGAGUUCGGCAGGGGAGACUGGAAUUCCUGGUGUAGCGGUGAAAUGCGCAGAUAUCAGGAGGAACACCGGUGGCGAAGGCGGGUCUCUGGGCCGAUACUGACACUGAGGAGCGAAAGCGUGGGGGAGCGAACGGG